rnacentral:lncRNA from 1 species
CAUGAAUUUCUAUAAUACUUUAUAAUUGAUGAAACAUGUUUUUUUAUUUUCAGUAUUAUGGCAAGUCCAAAUAAUUCAAUCAUCUUCUUUUUAGAAACCCAAUUUAAUUCCAUUUUUCCUACAUAACAUCUUAAAUACUUGGAAAUAUCUCUCCCAUCAAAUAGGUCAAUCUUGCUAACCAUCGCUUGUAAUGCUUUGGUUGCCAAAACCUCUGUGUGAU